rnacentral:rRNA from 1 species
UAGUACGGCGAGUGAAGCGGCAACAGCUCAAAUUUGAAAUCUGGCUCUUUCAGAGUCCGAGUUGUAAUUUGCAGAGGGCGCUUUGGCUUUGGCAGCGGUCCAAGUUCCUUGGAACAGGACGUCACAGAGGGUGAGAAUCCCGUACGUGGUCGCUAGCUAUUGCCGUGUAAAGCCCCUUCGACGAGUCGAGUUGUUUGGGAAUGCAGCUCUAAAUGGGAGGUAAAUUUCUUCUAAAGCUAAAUAUUGGCCAGAGACCGAUAGCGCACAAGUAGAGUGAUCGAAAGAUGAAAAGCACUUUGGAAAGAGAGUCAAACAGCACGUGAAAUUGUUGAAAGGGAAGCGCUUGCAGCCAGACUUGCUUGCAGUUGCUCAUCCGGGCUUUUGCCCGGUGCACUCUUCUGUAGGCAGGCCAGCAUCAGUUUGGGCGGUGGGAUAAAGGUCUCUGUCACGUACCUCUCUUCGGGGAGGCCUUAUAGGGGAGACGACAUACCACCAGCCUAGACUGAGGUCCGCGCAUCUGCUAGGAUGCUGGCGUAAUGGCUGUAAGCGGCCCGUCUUGA